rnacentral:rRNA from 1 species
GACGGGGGGUCCUAGCGUUGUUCGGAAUCAUUGGGCGUAAAGCGUGUGCAGGUGGUCAAGAAAGUUGGAUGUGAAAUCCCCGGGCUUAACCCGGGAAGUGCAUUCAAAACUCCUUGACUUGAGUAAGGAAGAGGGUCGUGGAAUUCCAGGUGUAGUGGUGAAAUACGUAGAUAUUCGCAAGAACACCAGUGGCGAAGGCGGCUCACUGGCCCGUAACUGACGCUGAGGCACGAAAGCGUGGGGAGCAAACAGG